rnacentral:lncRNA from 12 species
AAACCAGCUGCCCUUUCCCUGGAACAAAGCCGUAAAGUUUACGGAUUCGGUUUUGAUCAGAGAUACCGAAAUGUCAGAGUCAAUAGUGCACAACUGUAUUGCAACAGCGUCGUUGGGCUUUUAUUUACGACUCGCUCCUUUCAGACAAGGUUUCCAGUGAAUACCACUUGCAUUUCUGUACAAAAUGAGGCUCCUGUUUGCCUUCAAAGCAGUUUCAAGACAAAUGAUGGACUGUGCCAGUCUUUAAGCUACUGUCAGAUAACUGUAAACACUGAGGGACAUAAGGGACGUGUUUCUAAUAUACUGUAUGCCAAUUUGACUUUCUUCAUCUCCCAAGGACAGACUACCACCUGCUGAAAAAAUCCUAUCUUAUGCACAUGUUUAUGGACACCUGGACUCGGGAGACAAGCCUGAUUGAUGGCUGAGAGCUCUGAGGAAAAAGCUGCCCUACCCACAGACACGCCUCUGGAUCCAUUUAUCACAAUCACUCACAGAAAGAUGGAGGCAUCGGCAAAAAAAAAAAAAGUGAGAUGGUGCUCUACGGACAAAGCUGCGACCGGUCGGCAGGCGUGCAUCACGGAGGGAGACUGGGAGAUAAUUGGACAGUUGGUGGGAGAGAACACUCCACCGGAGAGACAGUUUGGACAGGGAACACGGAUGGACAGAUGGAUGGAGAGGAAAAAUAGCAGAAGAAGAGUAUCAGAAGUGCAGGAAGACUGCCCCGUCACUCCUAGGAGUCUCUGUUAUUUCAGAACUGCUGUAACACUCGUGGAUCUGAGACCAGGGUUUUAUUUAGCACAAGAUCAGUGAUGGACGGACAGACUCCAGCGAGACAGAUGGGCAGAUGUGGCUUCACAGCACUCAACGACUGCAAACAACAAAUUGUCCUUACCCUCUCCAAGCUCAGCUGGAGGGACGUUGCUGAUACCCAUGAUGCUUUAGGUUACUACUGAGUGACAGAUGCUGUAACACGGGCAGAGGUUCAGUGAAUUGGAUUAGCAUUUGAAGCUUCCCUCUCUGUUUUAAUUAACAGAAACCUCUGAUAAUAUGUCAAAACCCUCAGCAAUGACCGCAAGCUCACGAAAAGAUGAAAUCAGCCGUAAUGUUACUCUGACUAUAGGAUAAACGUACACACAUGAAAACAAAUUCUGUUUACCGAGUGACUGUCUGAUGUCAGAAUUGCAGGAUCCUUUGGCUCUGCUUGUGCUGUUUUACUGUGCCGCAUCUGAAAUCAGGCACAUCGAAGGGUCAAAAGGUGCAGCAGAACCAAGCACGCGAUCUGACAGACGUGAGAAACAUACUAAACGCUCUCACAGACAGACAGACCCUUCCUCACCUCCUCAACACCCUCUGUGAGUUUCAACAUCUGCAUUCUGUGUUAAUGAACUGAUUUGUCCGAAUGGAGAAAGGAGAGUUUGUCAUAGCGCUCACCAUGCUGCCAACUGUCAGCGCCGCUAGUCAAAUGAGCGCUGGAGAUGUUUAGACUCUCUGUCACUGUUGAAGCUUGAGUGGAUUUUAAUUAGCAUGAGGAUGAUUGUACUGAUUAUAACAUGGGUGAGAAAAAUUGCUUUUUGUUGUUAUUGCCGUAGAAAUUAUAGUGAGAUAAAACAAUAAUUGGCAGAUCCCCAGAAAUGUUAAUGUAGGACAAUGUGAAGAUCAGAGGAUCAAGUCUCCUACUGUUGUAAAAUAUUAAUGGGUAGUUCACAUGGACACAAUUUUUCUAUUUAUAUUAAAAUUAAUGUUUUUUAUAUUUAUGAAUUUAUUUUUUAUUUUAUUUUUUAUUUUAUACACCUGAAUUUUAAAGAAAAAUGUAUAGUAAAUUCUAAAAUGUUUAAUGUAAUUAUGAUUAAUUGCAUCCAAAAUAACAUUUUUACAUAAUAUAUGUGUGUACUGUGUAUAUUUAUGUAUAUAAUAUACAAACAUACAUACAUGUAUAUAUUUAAGAUUGGGAUGAUUGUCUAAAAGUUUCCUAAUUUACCUAAAUUUUCUCUAAAAAAAAAAAAAUCAUUAUUAAUUUACCUAUAUUACCAGCCCACACACAAAACUUGUGCACAUAUGGUACCAGUGUAGAAAUUCUUAUUCUGAAAUCUGAUAUGAAAACCAGGGACUACUGUAUUAGUAUUAUGCAUUGAAUUUUAAGCUCAAACAUUAACCGUCAGUCACUCUUCUAUUGUAAUGCAGGUCCAUGCUUCCCCUUAAUCUAACUGAGAAAUUAAACAGUGUUUACUUUGGCUUAAAAACUAACUUAGUCAUCUUUUGUUCCCAUUCAUUAGUGAUGGCAAUUUCCUUUGUGCAGAUGAGAGUGAGAAAGGAUUGAUUAAAUUCUGCAUUAAAAAUGAAAAGUGUGCGGAAAGAAGGUCACAGAGUGACUUUACCCGCUCUGAAGGGCUUUAAAACUUUGUACAGUAAGAAGAUACGAUUCUGUGCAUAUAUACACCAUUAUAUAAAUCAAACAACUCUUGAUUGAUUUCUCCCAUGAGGGAGGAUUAUGAAUGAAAUAAAUCUGUCAUUGGACAUCCAUUAUCAUACUGUCUAUUCAAGUUUAUUGGGUUAACAAAACUUAAAUGAAUCAUACAGUAUCUCUACAGAGAUAUCUUAUUCUAUCUCUAUAUCUAGAGAAAGUCUCUAUGG